rnacentral:rRNA from 1 species
ACUCCUACGGGAGGCAGCAGUGGGGAAUAUUGGACAAUGGGCGCAAGCCUGAUCCAGCAAUGCCGCGUGAGUGAAGAAGGCCUUCGGGUUGUAAAGCUCUGUUGUAAAGGAAGAAUGUGCACUAUAGGAAAUGAUAGUGUAAUGACGGUACUUUACCAGAAAGCCACGGCUAACUACGUGCCAGCAGCCGCGGUAAUACA